AUUGAACGCUGGCGGCAUGCCUUACACAUGCAAGUCGAACGGUAACAGGUUAAGCUGACGAGUGGCGAACGGGUGAGUAAUGUAUCGGAACGUGCCCAGUCGUGGGGGAUAACUGCUCGAAAGAGCAGCUAAUACCGCAUACGACCUGAGGGUGAAAGCGGGGGAUCGCAAGACCUCGCGCGAUUGGAGCGGCCGAUAUCCGAUUAGGUAGUUGGUAGGGUAAAGGCCUACCAAGCCGACGAUCUGUAGCUGGUCUGAGAGGACGACCAGCCACACUGGGACUGAGACACGGCCCAGACUCCUACGGGAGGCAGCAGUGGGGAAUUUUGGACAAUGGACGCAAGUCUGAUCCAGCCAUGCCGCGUGCGGGAAGAAGGCCUUCGGGUUGUAAACCGCUUUUGUCAGGGAAGAAACGCUCUGGGUUAAUACCUCGGGGUAAUGACGGUACCUGAAGAAUAAGCACCGGCUAACUACGUGCCAGCCGCCGCCGUAA
rnacentral:rRNA from 1 species